AUAGCCCUUAUAGAGGCAUUCAUUGUAGAUAAGGCUGAUGUGCCACAUGUACAACAGUAGAUGGCAGAGAGAAGAGAAGCUAUGUUUAUUCUAGGUGAACAUAUGAAUGAUUAUUAGUUUAAUACU